UUCAAACCAUUUGGGAUUAAU
ensembl:piRNA 21ur-4870 ncRNA